rnacentral:rRNA from 1 species
GUCCAUGCCGUAAACUAUGGAUGCUAGCUGUUAUCGGUAUCGACCCCGGUAGUAGCGAAGCUAACGCGUUAAGCAUCCCGCCUGUGGAGUACGGUCGCAAGACUAAAACAUAAAGGAAUUGACGGGGACCCGCACAAGCGGUGGAGCGUGUUGUUUAAUUCGUAGGUAAGCGAAGAACCUUACCCAGGCUUGACAUCUCGGGAAUUUCUCCGAAAGGAGAGAGUGCCGUAAGGAACCCGAAGACAGGUGUUGCAUGGCCGUUGU